UACAGAGGUCCCAAGCGUUGUUCGGAUUUACUGGGCGUAAAGGGUGCGUAGGCGGUGGGGUAAGUUUGAGGUGAAAGCUCCGGGCUCAACCCGGAAAAUGCCUUGAAAACUAUCCGGCUAGAGGGUUGGAGGGGAGACUGGAAUUCUCGGUGUAGCGGUGAAAUGCGUAGAUCUCGAGAGGAACACCAGUGGCGAAGGCGGGUCUCUGGACAACACCUGACGCUGAGGCACGAAAGCCAGGGGAGCAAACGGG
rnacentral:rRNA from 1 species